UUAAUUCACAUUUAUUGCUAUUUUUAACAUUAAAACAGUACAAAUUAAUUAACAAUGCGUAAAACGCCGGCAAUGCACGCGUUGUAACUCGAUCAAAACAAGAAGUGCGGGGUCGCAGGGAGAUGUGGUUGACACGGCAUGCAUUGUAAGUUUACUUAUUAGAACAGGAACGUAAAUAUACGGCGGAAUAAAUAAUGGUAACAAUUUUUUUAUUUGAAAUGAUAAUUAUAUUUUAAGAAUGAAAACAUCGUAAC